rnacentral:rRNA from 1 species
UAAUGCUCCAUAGUGGAUAUGUCCUGGAAUGGUAUAUCCUCGAAAGAUCCGUCGCCUUAGGAUGGGACUGCGUCCGAUUAGGUUGUUGGCGGGGUAACGGCCCACCAAGCCAUUGAUCGGUACGGGUUGUGGGAGCAAGAUCCCGGAGAUGGAUUCUGAGACAUGAAUCCAGGCCCUACGGGGCGCAGCAGGCGCGCAAACUUUACAAUGCGAGCAAUCGUGAUAAGGAAACCCUGAGUGCCUGUCGAUGCAGGCUGUUCAUAUAUCUAAAUCAUAUGUGAAGAAAGGGCAGGGCAAGACCGGUGCCAGCCGCCGCGGUAAUACCGGCUGCUCGAGUGAUGGCCACUAUUACUGGGUUUAAAGCGUCCGUAGCUUGACUGUUAGGUCUCUGUGGGAAAUCUUCACGCUCAACGUGAAGGCGUCUAAGAGAUACCGGCAGUCUUGGAACUGGGAGAGGUAAACCGUACUUCGGGGGUAGGAGUGAAAUCUUGUAAUCCUCGAGGGACGACCUAUGGCGAAGGCAGUUUACCAGAACAGCUUCGACAGUGAGGGACGAAAGCUGGGGGAGCAAACGGGAUUAGAUACCCCGGUAGUCCCAGCCGUAAACAAUGUGCGUUAGGUGU